GACGAACGCUGGCGGCGUGCCUAAUACAUGCAAGUUGAGCGCUGAAGGUUGGUACUUGUACCGACUGGAUGAGCAGCGAACGGGUGAGUAACGCGUGGGGAAUCUGCCUUUGAGCGGGGGACAACAUUUGGAAACGAGUGCUAAUACCGCAUAAAAACUUUAAACACAAGUUUUAAGUUUGAAAGAUGCAAUUGCAUCACUCAAAGAUGAUCCCGCGUUGUAUUAGCUAGUUGGUGAGGUAAAGGCUCACCAAGGCGAUGAUACAUAGCCGACCUGAGAGGGUGAUCGGCCACAUUGGGACUGAGACACGGCCCAAACUCCUACGGGAGGCAGCAGUAGGGAAUCUUCGGCAAUGGACGAAAGUCUGACCGAGCAACGCCGCGUGAGUGAAGAAGGUUUUCGGAUCGUAAAACUCUGUUGGUAGGGAAGAACGUUGGUGAGAGUGGAAAGCUCAUAAAGUGACGGUAACUACCCAGAAAGGGACGGCUAACUACGUG
rnacentral:rRNA from 1 species